rnacentral:rRNA from 1 species
UGCCUACGGGACGCAGCAGUGAGGAAUAUUGGUCAAUGGGCGGAAGCCUGAACCAGCCAAGUCGCGUGAGGGAAUAAGGCCCUACGGGUCGUAAACCUCUUUUGCCGGGGAGCAAGGGCGGGGACGUGUCCCGGCCCGGAGAGUACCCGGAGAAAAAGCAUCGGCUAACUCCGUGCCAGCAGCCGCGGUAAUACGUAGGGUGCGAGCGUUAAUCGGAAUUACUGGGCGUAAAGGGUGUGCAGGCGGCUGAGUAAGACAGAUGGGAAAUCCCCGGGCUUAACCUGGGAACCGCAUAUGUGACUGCU